rnacentral:rRNA from 1 species
UACCAGCUCUCCGAGUGGUGUGGAUGUUUAUUGGGCCUAAAGCAUUCGUAGCUGGCCAAGUUAGUCCCCUGUUAAAUCCACCGAAUUAAUCGUUGGAAUGCGGGGGAUACUGCUCGGCUAGGGGACGAGAGAGGCCGACGGUAUUUUCGGGGUAGGGGUGAAAUCCUAUAAUCCCGGGAAGACCACCAGUGGCGAAGGCUGUCGGCUAGAACGUGCUCGACGGUGAGGGAUGAAAGCUGGGGGAGCGAACCGGAUUAGAUACCCGGGUAGUCCCAGCUGUAAACGAUGCAGGCUAGGUGUUUGGGCGGCCACGUGCCGCUCUAGUGCCGCAGGGAAGCUGUUAAGCCUGCCGCCUGGGGAGUACGGCCGCAAGGCUGAAACUUAAAGGAAUUGGCGGGGGAGCACCACAAGGGGUGAAGCUUGCGGUUU